rnacentral:rRNA from 1 species
UACGUAGGGUGCAAGCGUUGUCCGGAAUUAUUGGGCGUAAAGAGCUCGUAGGCGGUCUGUCACGUCUGCUGUGAAAACUCGGGGCUUAACCCCGGGCCUGCAGUGGGUACGGGCAGACUAGAGUGCGGUAGGGGAGACUGGAAUUCCUGGUGUAGCGGUGGAAUGCGCAGAUAUCAGGAGGAACACCGGUGGCGAAGGCGGGUCUCUGGGCCGAGAUUGACGCUGAGGAGCGAAAGCGUGGGGAGCGAACAGG